AAGUCGUAACAAGGUUUCCGUAGGUGAACCUGCGGAAGGAUCAUUAUUGAAUUAGUGAGGGCUGUCUGCUGGCCCCUUCGGGGGCAUGUGCACGUCCGAGCCGUUUAAAUCAACACCUGUGAACUCACCGUAGGCCUUCGGGCUUAUGUAUCAUAUAUAUAUAUACUCAGAUCAUAGAAUGUACAUUUUGCCUUUAAAAAAGCAAUCAAAUACAACUUUCAACAACGGAUCUCUUGGCUCUCGCAUCGAUGAAGAACGCAGCGAAAUGCGAUAAGUAAUGUGAAUUGCAGAUUUUCAGUGAAUCAUCGAAUCUUUGAACGCACCUUGCGCUCCUUGGUAUUCCGAGGAGCAUGCCUGUUUGAGUGUCAUUAAAUCCUCAACCCCGUCCGUCGGUCGGGGCUUGGACUUUGGAGCGUGCUGGCGAAGGUCGGCUCCUCUUUAAAUGCAUCAGCGGAGAAAAACAAACCUUUUUUCCCCCUUCAGCGUGAUAACUGUGUUGCGCUGUGGUCGCGAAAGGGUCCGCUCAUAAUCGUCCUCGGACAAACACCGAAUCUG
rnacentral:rRNA from 1 species